rnacentral:rRNA from 1 species
UACGUAGGGUGCAAGCGUUAAUCGGAAUUACUGGGCGUAAAGCGUGCGUAGACGGUUAUGUAAGUCAGAUGUGAAAGCCCCGGGCUCAACCUGGGAAUUGCAUUUGAGACUGCAUAGCUAGGGUGCGGAAGAGGGAAGCGGAAUUUCCGGUGUAGCGGUGAAAUGCGUAGAUAUCGGAAGGAACACCAGUGGCGAAAGCGGCUUCCUGGUCCAGCACCGACGUCAGGCACGAAAGCGUGGGGAGCAAACAGG